rnacentral:rRNA from 1 species
CAGCAGCCGCGGGAAAACGUAGGUGGCAAGCGUUGUCCGGAUUUAUUGGGCGUAAAGCGAGCGCAGGCGGUCAAUUAAGUCUGAUGUGAAAGCCCCCGGCUCAACCGGGGAGGGUCAUUGGAAACUGGUUGACUUGAGUGCAGAAGAGGAGAGUGGAAUUCCAUGUGUAGCGGUGAAAUGCGUAGAUAUAUGGAGGAACACCAGUGGCGAAGGCGACUCUCUGGUCUGUAACUGACGCUGAGGCUCGAAAGCGUGGGUAGCAAACAGGAUUAGAUACCCCCGUAGUCCCUGUCUCUUAUAC